CUUUGUACAUAUAUAAAAACAUAUACAAGGAUAGACUCAAAUAGAAUGAAGGAAAUUGUGUAGACAUUUUGGGUGGAAAAUUAAUUAUCUCCCUUAUUCUGCUGGCUGCUUAUGGAAAUGGAAAUAAUAUUUUUCUCUCGCUCCCUCGAAAUGUCUCCACUUUCGUUACUAGCGCCAAUGGCUCGGCAUCCGGUCGCCCUAAAAAAUUUAGCUCAUGAGAGUACUAUAGUUUUCAUAUACAAAGGUUUGACAGAUUAACAUCUAGGUGAGAACUUUGACAACUCAAUAAAUUGUAAACAAAACAAAAUUCAUUCACAGUAAUGCAAAUAAAGGUAAAGAAGAAACCAUAGGGAAUGUAGCAACCAAAGUGGAAUUCCCUGAAGGAAGCUACCAACGAAAACAUGUCUAUUCUGGAGCGAAAAAUUAUCGGCCACGAAGUUCAAGUAGAAAUUACACUUCACUACAAGAUUUUGUUCCUAACAAUCAAAUAGCGGGGCGACUUUCCAUUACCGCAGCACGAAUUUCCUUCUGAUUUUUUAUUACAGUUAGGUAGGGGUCUCAAUAGAACAUAUUUUAAAUAUUAGGGCGAGGAAACAACUUUAAGUAAUUGAAAAAAAUACUUUCUUUUUCGGACUUAACCCUACUUUUUUUGUAUUGUAUUGCAAGUAUGGCAACACUGAACAAAAAACAUGGAAGAAAUGUCAAAAUCAACCAUUUUUGUGUGUUUUGUAUGUAAAAAAGUGAACCUUGAAAAUUAAUUAAAAAUAGAAAUAAAUGUUUCCUCGCUUCGCUCUAAAAUUGCUGUAGUUAUUAUUUAUUUGCACAUAUCUAUCAAAUAAAAAACCCCGAGCCGAAAUUCGUGAUGCGGUAAAGGAAAGUUGAGCCCAAAUCGCUCUAUUCCAAAAGGUUCUUAUGCCCUCAAUUUUUAACCCGAACGGUAGGAAUGAAAAGGGCUGAUUACAGCGAAGAGAUCGAUAUUGCAUAAAACUGAAAAGUUUCGCGAUGAAACCGGUCUGACAUGCUAUAUGGAUAUAGGUACAUGCCGAAAAUGUGGCUAUGAAGUUGAGGGAUCGUUUUAUUUGUUGGCACUUUCCCUGGUCAUUUAUAGCCAAGCCAAAAGGAUCAAAUCAAUCAAUUGAAGCAUUGGAUAGCAAUAAGCACAGACACGUCAUGUAUUACCAUCUGUGCAAUGCAAAGUAGUUCUUCCAGCCAGCUGCCGACAGGCGAAAGAUUGUAGUGUACGCAAGCCCUUCCUCAUGAUGUAGACAAUCGUUGAUUAAAUCUAGUCAGGUUUUCAAGACAGUACCUACCACCGAGAAUUGGCCAAUUCAUCUGUUUCACUAUAUUCUCAAGCAUGAUGAAUGUUGCAGAAAUUUAGAGCUGCAUAUCUUACUUGUAAAUGUUUUGGCAAACUCUGUGAUGUAGCUGAUUUCUGGGACUUAAUUGAAAUACCUUCAUUAAUUACAUCAAUGUCGAUGCUGUCAACAUCUUCAUUUCAAUUCAAACCCGAUUAUAGGAUUACUCUAUCAAUUUAGAUUAUUGAGAUAUUAUUUUUUUUUAUUCGAAAGCACUUACAGGGUUUUCGAAGCUAUCAUUUUCAUGAAAUAGUUCGAAAAAUGUGUGAUGAUGAAUCUACAAAAUCUUCCUUCAAUAUUCCGUUUACAAUAUUUUUCUAUUUCUUAUUACGGAUUUUUAGUCUUAAGAUUAUAACAUCAAGUUCUUGUAAUAUACUGAAAAAAUAAUGGUGAAAAUGGGUAUUUCUUAGUUUGAGAAAAUGUAGCUAAUCGGAGUUCGGAUUCGUAAACAGCAUCAAGAAUUAACCGAACUAUUAUAUGGAUUCUCGAUUUAUUCGAGAAAAUAUGCGACGAGACAAGGUGCAAUGGUCAUCUUCUGAUGAGCCCAACCAUUGCAUCGGGCGACAUAUUUUGAACACCAUGCUGGUUUAUUUUGAAUUCAUUUUUCUUGAUUUUAAAUCAUAUAUAUUAAAUAUGUAUUUAAAACCAUAAAAGAAUUAAUUGUUUUUUCAAGACAUCAGGUAGAGUCAAAAAAGGAAUGUAGUAGUUAAAAGCAAAGAUAUGUGCUUUGCAAAAUCGUCUUGCAAUUUAAAGUUAAGGGAUACGUCAUGUUUUACCGUUUUUGGAUGUGAUAGAAAAAUUUUAAGGUGAGGUUCGAAGUCAGGAUAACUUAAUCAUCUCAAAUAGUAUUUUUUUUUUGUGUAAUUUUGCCAACCACUGUUAUUAGACUCAAUAGAAUUUAAACAUCGCAAUCUGACGAGAGAGAAAUAUAUACGAACGUAAUGAAGUAAAACGCUGAGAAUAUGGAAAGAUCACUUCUUCACGAACUAUUCAAAGCAGCAGGCGAUGACUUGGUACGGAUCAUGCACCAACUCAUCUGCAAAAUAUGGUCGGAAGAAAGCAUGCCCGAAUCUCAGCAUAGUGUACCCGAUACAUAAGAAAGGAGACCCUCUAAACUGCGCCAACUACAGAGGCAUCACUCUCCUUAACAUUGCGUAUAAGAUCCUCUCUGCCGUAUUAUAUGAACGUCUGAAGCCAUUCUUCAACAACCUGAUUGGGCCUUAUCAGUGUGGCUUCAGACCAGGAAAGUCCACUAUCGACCAAAUAUUCACAGAUCUUGGAAAAACCCAGGAGCUUCAAAUCGAUACCCACCAUCUCUUUAUCGAUUUUAAAGCCGCGUAUAACAGCAUCUAUAGGGAAGAGCUCUACCGAGCAAUGUCUAGUUUUGGCAUCCCUGUCAAACUUAUCCGUUUGUGCAGAAUGACGAUAUAGAAUGCACGCUGCUCUAUAAAGGUCGGAAAAGAUCUUACCGAUGCAUUUGAUGUCAAAAAAGAUUUUAGACAAGGCGAUGCACUGUCAUGCAACUUCUUCAACAUCGUUCUGGAAAGAAUUUUGCAAGACUCAACCGUCAACACUAGAGGCACAAUCUUCCAAAGAUCCAUACAAUAACUCUUUCAAAUCGCUGCUUCUUUGGACUUAGAAGGCAAUUGAGAAGUAAAGUCCUCUCUCGAGCAUGUAAAAUCACCAUCUAUAAGACACUCAUCAUCCCGGUUCUCAUUUAUGGCGCUGAGGCCUGGACCCUGUCAAAGAAAGAUGAGAGCGUCUUAGGAUACUUCGAGAGAAAAAUUCUUCGGGUGAUUUUUGGUCCCGUACGCAUAGAUGGAGAAUGAAGGAGAAGAUAUAACGACGAACUGUACGGGCUGUACAGCGACACUGACCUAGUUAGCAGAAUUAAAGUCCAACGGCUUAGAUGGCUAGGCCAUGUAGAGCGGAUGGACAUCAACGCUCCAGCCCGGAUGGUCUUCGAAUCCAAUCCCGAGGGACGGCGCAGUAGAGGAAGACCCAAGUCACUCAAGUUUCGCACGCAGGUGGGAGAGGACCUCAACCAACUUGGCGUGCGAAACUGGAGACAGCCCAGGUCCGCCCCGGACUGUAGCGCCACCUUAAGUAAGUAAUUUUUUUUUGAAUGAAUAUUUUUGAUUUGUUUAUUGAAAUAUAAAAAAAAACUCUUUAGUAUUUUAUCUCACUUUGAACUAAACAUUAGAAUGAUACUCUGAUCUUGAAGUCAUGUAAUCGUUGAAAAAUUAUAAAAUGUCAAAUUUUUGAGUCGGUAUACUUCAUAGGCACUAGUUCUCACAGUACUGUAGCGCAACCUUAAGUAUACUUCAAUAUAUUUUUUUCUCCGAAUCGGUUAUGAAGAACCAAAAAGAUCGGUAACGAUAGGGGUGAUUUUCCCUGAUUUCUGUCGAAUCUUCUACCAUAGAAUUUUUUCACUAAUGUCUAAACAUGUCAUUCCU